GAACUUGAGAGUUUGAUCCUGGCUCAGAACGAACGCUGGCGGCAUGCCUAACACAUGCAAGUCGAACGAG
rnacentral:rRNA from 1 species